AGUUACACUAGCGCUCUCAACCACGGUUGAGUCGACCACGGUUGAACUCAACCAUGGUUGAGAGUGUUACACUGCAGCGCCAACCGUGGUUGACUGCACAACCACGGUUGAGUUUCGACCGAGCUCCUCAACCACAGUCGGGUCAACUGAAAAGCAAGAUGGCGGACUCCACGUCAGCUACUGUAGUGUCGUCGGAAGCAAUAAGUGAGCUGCCGUGCAGUAAAACACACUUCGUUUGGUCAGAUGCCAUGACGAUGCACUUGAUAAACGCCGGGGAGGACAGUGUAGCCGUAUCGGGGACCAAAGAAGCCAGAAAAGAAACGCCGCCGAUUACGACCGCGUCGAGACAGCUACUGCGGUUUUCGUCGGGAAGCAAGUGCGGGUUAAAAUAGAAAACCUGACGAUGGAAUACAGCUUCACCUAUGAAAACUACAGCCACACUGCACGGUCUCGCACUGCUACAAAACGACUACUUCAGAAACAGUGAUGUCAUGAUUGGUUCCAAUUGUGCACGAACAGUCAGAUGGAAACCAUUGUUGCAGCAUCCCAGCCUGAAGAACAAACAACUGAGCAACAAGAGACAAGUUCGGAACCUGCACAGACCUCACAGAGAAAGUAGCCCAAAAACCAGACUGUGAUGAUGCAGGUCCUAGAGCUCUAAAAAGCUGUGGAAAUGAGAGCUACAAAAGCUGAAAAAAGGAACGAAGGUUUCAAAGAAAUGUACUGAGGCUGCAGGAAGGAGUUAAUAGAAUGCAACAAGAAAUGCUUCGAUAAGCAAAUUAAAAUGGUGCAAGCGAGAUGGUGCACUGUGGAAA